AGUUGUACCCUUGCCUUUGGAGAUGUCUGAAAAGGUACCAAAUAUUCUCAAAAGGAAAGCUGAGCGUGCAACAACAGGCCAGGAAUCAGGAACAUUAGCUGAAGCUCAGGCUCUACUGCAAGAUACAAAUGAUGAUGAUGAUGAUGUUGUUAACGGGCAGAUUGUUUUUGGUAAUGAUGUAGAAACAGAUGAUGAUGAACAGCCUUUAGUGUGAUGAAGCAAAAUCUACUGAAGGGGAAUUGUUAAAUAGUGUAGUAUCUAAUUAUUUGAUUUGUGGUUAGAGCCUAGUCUUGUUCAAAUUAAAGAAAGUUGAUUUAUUUACAUUAAGAGUUUAAUGUAUUCUCUACAUAUAUCUGUGAUAUGUUUUGAGUGAAUAACAUUCAUAUAUCUCUCUAACACUGAUGGCCAUAUCAUUACAACUCCUCAUGAUUUUAUUAUUAUGAAUUUAAAUAGUGUGAGACAACAUACUAAUAAUUUUACCAAAGAUAACAAAAAUAUGUAAAAGCCCUCCAAAAAAAUGUAGUAUUAAUAAUAUGGACUUGUAGUUUCUGACAGACAUAUCAUUACUAGAACUAGAAAUAUCAGUGGCAUCAUUUUAUGACUGUAUACUUUUUCUGUUUAUCAAGUGUGUGUUAUCUCAACAGGAGUUAAUUGAAAAAGUUGAUUAUUCCAAUAACCUGUUUCAUGUAAAUCAGUCUUUCAUGAAAUGAGUAAAGAUAUUGGCAUAGUUCUACAUACCUAAAGAAAGCCAAAUGGGCUCAGGGAUCUCUUAAUAAAAUAGACUUUUUAUGGA